AACCCGACUACACGAAGCUGGAAUCGCUAGUAAUCGCGGAUCAGAAUGCCGCGGUGAAUACGUUCCCGGGCCUUGUACACACCGCCCGUCACACCAUGAGAGUUGGGAAUACCCGAAGCCUGUGAGCUAACAUUUAUGAGGCAGCAGUCGAAGGUAGAAUCAAUGAUUGGGGUGAAGUCGUAACAAGGUACC
rnacentral:rRNA from 1 species